rnacentral:lncRNA from 1 species
GCCAGGUCAAGACAACGCCUACAGAUCAUCAGGGAAUUCUGAAGUGGAAGCAAAUCAGUAGGAAUUACUCAUACAUCUGCAUCAGGACUGAAUUAGAACCACACAGCCCUGUGCUUCUGGAGGUGCUGGCUGCAUUGCGUUCCCUCGAACCACCAAUAGCACUGUGGUAAAUGCUGUACAGAAGAGCAGGAUGUAGUGCCAAGCCCUUGGGAUGCUAACAGGAUCCUAACAGAGCCCCUGCAAGUUGUUCCUCUGAGCAGACAUCACCCAGAUGGCUCAUGUGGCACAUCACCGGAUGGGUUUUGCCUUACGUGAGGGCUUUCCCAGCAUGGCAUGGAGGUGGUGAGCCAAGCACACAGCACUCAGGCACGAGAAUACAGCAUUGCUCUGAACACAGGCCUGUGGUUUGUUUGAGGCUGUAGCUACACAGUGUUGGCCAGUUCCCAGUGCUUGAUUGAUCCCAUGGGAUAGCAUAGCGGCUUGGCUGAAAGCUGCCCAUGACCUCUCCAAUUAAUUGAACUAAUAGAAUGGGGGCUGCUCAGCAGCUCUGUGCACCUACCUGCAG